AAUUCAAGGAGAGGGGACGGUUAGUGGGGAAUGGUAUUUACCAGCCCGUCCUGCGAGCAUGCCGUGCUGUGCUUGCACAGGGCCCGGUGCUGAUCGGCGUCUUCCCUGUCCACGAGGAACUAGGCCUCAUGCGGUGCUGAGUGUGUAGAAGGCUCCCGCAGACUGAAGAAAACCCACUUAGAGGGAACCUGAACCUUGAACAUUGGCGAAGGAGUGGAAUGGAACUAACGCCUACCUGCGUAGCGGUUCUCAAGCUUGGCUGCCUGCUGGAAUCACCUGGAAAUCUCAAAAGUACUCAUGUCUGGGCCCCACCCAGAGACACUGCCUUAGUUGGUCUGGGGUGUGCUUGAGCAACACGAGCUCUCAAAGCCUCUCCAAGUGAUUCUCUCGGGCAGCCAAGGCCAAGAAACCCCUUGGGCUGGAUUGCUCAGGAUUCUUUUACCACGGAACCGCUGCUUUGGGUUCUCUUCCGUGAGACUCGGGAGUAACCAGAUUUCAUGAGUAGAUUUUUAUUCUGUCCUAAAAGCACAUUGGAAAUGUCAGGUUUCCCCUACAGUGAGACUGAGGUGAUAUUUUGAGUUUAGUUUUAAAAACUUUUGAAUUAAUGCUGACUGUUUAAGGUAAAUAACAUGUUUGUAAUAAUAAAAGGUUUACUGAAAAUACAUAGGAAAGCAUAUAGAAAAAAACUUUAAAAAUUGGGUAGACAUCACCGUGUAGGUUGAGUAGAAGUAAUUUUUAUAUAUCAAGAAGGGUUCGCACACAUACUUAUGUUGAAACCAAUAAUCAUCCUCGGGAUGUCAUUUUUAGGAAAACAGCCUAUCUCUCGGGAUCCUAAACUAGCUGUGUAAGGGCAAGAUAAAGGUGAAAACAGGGAUGGGUUGGAAUUUGCCCAGUAGGUGCCCAGAGGCUGGCUGCGGCCCGCGGGGGUGGACUCCAUGCUGUUGCUCUCACCCAGCCCCUGGCGCUGGCCUGGAGGGCCUUUUGUCUCGUUGUUUUUUCAGCUCUUACUUGGGUUAUUUCAUUCAUGCUGUUCAUUUGUGCUGAUUCCUAAGGGGACAAAGCCUCUAGGCCUUUUACUGUAAGCUUCAGCGUUUGAAGUAAUGUUCCUGUGAAUGACAUUGGUCUGUGACUGAGUUAGUAGGUCUGUGUGUUGUUAAAGGCUGGACUUUCAACUUUGACGUCCCUAGAGCACCUGCCAAUUGGGGCAGAAAGAUCUAGUUGGAAACACCAUAAAGACUUUCUGUAAAUGUCAGCUUUUCUCCCCUGCUCCUGGUCUCCCCAUACGUAGUGUGGGGGUUAUGCUGGGGAUGGGUGACAGGAAAAGGCCCUAAUCCAACGUGUUUCAAAGAAAAGUGAGUUGAAAAAGCAUCUUAAACACAGCCUCAUGAACUAGCUUAUGAUUAAUGAUCAGUCAACCCCACUUGUCUGUCUGAUUUGGGGGUAUGUCUAGGAACAAAUGGAUGAAGACAUUCUGGAUUUUGUAAAUGUUUCUCAUCUGGUUUUAAAAAAUACCAUGAAAGUUGGAAAAUCCCAGGGUGUGAACAUGCUGUGGGCUUUAUUGAGAGUGCCGUGCCUGGACCCCUGAAGUAUACCAGGGUUAAUGCGUAAGUGUGGCUUCGGAAGCAAAGUAACGUGAAGUCCCUUGGUUAUGUACUGGCCAUGACUAUACGUUGCUGUAUUUAGGUGGUAAAUGGCUGACUCCAUUACACCCACCCUGCACACUCCCUCUCUGCCCUGACAAAACUUUUUGUCACGAAGCUUCUCAGUCCCUUAGGCACAAUGGCAAAAGGUGCUUGGACCCCGCUAUGGACAGAUGCUGUCUCUUGGGGGCCAGGGUGGGGGUGACACCCUGGUAGAGUCUCUCGGUAAUGCCAUGUGGUCUGAGUGGUGUUCUCUACCAGCAUGUCACCCCCUCCCCUUGCCAAGGGAGGAAAAGUGAUGCAGGUGGACCUGAGUCCUCUGGCCACAGUCACUGGUUUAAAAAGGGGCACAUGCCCAGGCAGGGCCAAGCAGCUUUAGACAGCUCAAUAGAUAAUGCAUAACUCACUAGUUUAUAGAAGAACAGUUGGAUAAAAAUCAUGCUUCUGGAAGUUGGAGUACAUUAAGGUUACCUGCUCAGAUGGCUAAACCUUUUUAUUAAUAUUUGUGGAGAAGACACGAUUUUUCAUUUGCCUUAGUUCCAGAUAGACUCCACCCACCCUCCCUCUUUUUUUCCUUCUGAUAGGAAUUACCUCCCUAAAGUUUGCAUUUCAAAGAGACACCCCCAUAAGAGUUCCUGGAGAGAGCGGGUAGAACAGUUCUCUCUCAGAUGCACAGGGAAAGAAUGCAAGUUUCCCCAAGAAGGACUUUGGUUUCCUAAAUCCAGAUCUUUUACAAUAUCUGCAAGUCUUUUGAGAUGAACAGAGGAGAUUUGGGGAUUGAUAAAAAGGACACGUGGGCUUUGAGUGCUGCAUUUCUGUUCUCAUAAAGACUAGAUUUGUAAGACAAGUACAGUUUUAAAUUCCUCAAGGAAUUAGGUUGCAACUUAAAAGACUAAAGCCAAAAUGAUCUUGAAAAUUUACUCAGCUGAAUUUUGUUUUUUUAACAGUUUGGUGGCAGUGAUGGAACCCAAAGGAGAUAGCUCACAGCUUCAUGGACAACAAGAAACACAGGCUCUGGUACUUAUGAACCCUCCGAGGUCCCUUUCUCGCCAUUUCCGAGGCCAUGGAAACAUCUCUCACAAGUUAAGUCAAUGCUGAACAAGAAUACAACCUGACGUCUGAUCUCCUUAUGACCUACUUCUGUAGAAUAUGUCACUGGAAAACACAACUAAAGGACUCCGUUGUUAGAAAGGACUUUUCUUGGUACUGCUCUCCAGUUGCCGUCUAGCUAAACCUGAAGGCAUCUGACCCUGGGGUCACAGACCUGAACGGACCAGCAGUGCCACCGGUGGUCUCAAACUCAAGAUCUCCCAGAAGCUAGUUGUCGGACUGUAUUUCAGGCUGCUGGAUUCACCAUCUAGAGCUCUGUAUCUCCCAUGAUGUUGGAGACCCUUGGUCCUUCCUGUAAGUAGUUUUCCCUCCUGAUGCCACCAUAAACAAUAGAUUCCCUUUGAUGUCAGCUACAAACUUAAAUUUUUGCAGCCAGGCUUCCCAGUGCUUUUUUUCCUUUCUCUAAUCGGUUAGACACAAAUACCCAUGCAAACCAUAGUAUACCUGCACCCCUAUGUUCUGAUUAUCUAAAUCAGAUCUGCCCUGAUCAUGAAAAAAAAUCUCACCAGUCAUCUGCCUUUGCAAGGAAUUUAGAUUUACUUCCCACUGCACCAGAAACCUAACUUAACCCUGGUUUGAAUGGGCAGAUGCAACAAUCCAUGAAAAUCCAUCAGCAGUGUCACCUCAGCAGGAGUGGUUUGUGCCCUGACAGGAGUUAUCUCUGUGGUGGUGGUCAUACUCCUUGGGCCUAUGAAUGCCCCAGUGGCUGGCGCAGAACCAGGCAGUGCCUCUGCAGUUAUGAACUGUCCUAACUGUCCACAACCAAGCAGAGACGCCUCACUAGUCAGCUCCCCUGCAGUUCCCUUGUCAGGUUCAAGAGGACUCACCAGGAGGCGUUCUGGAUUCCCUUCGUUUGACAGAUCCCACCUUCUCUCGUUAGGAGUGAGAACGGAGGAGGCUGCGAUCAGACACCUCUUUACCCCUUGGAAACACUGCCGACUGUACUGCGAAGGUCACAGCUGCCCAGCACGGACCCCCGGACUCACUCGCUGAAGCUGUCCUGGACGGUAGGCUAGCCCUCGAUUAUCCCGCAGCUGAACAAGGCGGCGUCUGUCGUCAGCACCGCUUGUUGUACUUGGACUAACACUCUGGGAAAGUUAAGGGUCAGUUACAUCAAAUCCAACAACAAGCUCAUUGGGUACAAUAAGUCCUUUCUGACAUCUUGGAAUUUUGAUUUAUUCAGCUGGUUACCUACAGGACUGGGUUUAUGGAUUAGAUCUGUACUAUAAAUUGGUCUUUCCAGCCUUUUUGUUAUUUUCUUGUGAUUUUUAAAGUACUCAAUUGUUGUCUACUGAGGCUUGGUAAAAAUAAACCCACAGAUACCUCACAACACUGCAAGCAUCAGUAACACCUGUACAGUUGACACAGUCUCCCUGCCUUGAUCCUCCACUUUGACCCAUUAUAAGAAGUUGCUCAAAUGUGGCCUUAUAGUUGCUCCUAACCUCAAAAUCUUUCCUCACCCUGAAGAAAGAUGUCCAAUCAUAGCAUGGUUAAAGACAGACAGAAUGGAUGAAGUCCAUGCAGAAGAAACACACUGGGUUUCAGCACCCUCUCAUAGGGACUUGAUCAAAAAACUGUGGAACAACACAGAAAUGGAGUCACUUAUGUUAGGGACAAAAUGGAGACGGUGAAGACAGGCUCAUACAGGAAACCUAACCCAAUCUUACAGGAAUUUACAGCUCUUCUCAAAUCAGCAGAGGACACCAGCCAGUCUAACCACCAAGUCCAUUCAUGCCGUGUCUGGACUGCCUUGUUCCCUGAUCCAAAUGUGCAGUCUGGCUGUUGACAUUUCUCGUUUUUCAAAUAAGGCUAAUGAAAUCCUCUUGCCAUUUCCCUCCUCCAUGAGACGAGACACCUGAGGAUGGUCCUUCUCUGCUCUGAGGGACAUGUAGUCCAUCUAACAACGUCUUUGAUCAAGAAAAAAAAAAAUCAAAAGGAAGGAGGAAAACAACGCCUAAAUGACAUGGUUCGUUAGUGAUGUUUUCUGCAAAAGGUCUUGAUCAAGAGAGGAAAUGUGAAAGGAUUUCAGUCUAGAAUGGAACCGGAGGCUGUGAAAUAGAGAAUCACACAUGCGCUCUCAGAAGAACAGAACUUAGAACUGAGACCAGUUUCCCGUAAAUGCUGAUUACCAGACCACUGAGACUUAUCUCCAGACCAGUGAGCGUCUACCAAGAAUCUAAUCUCUCCAUCCUCAAGCUAAUGAACUUACUGCUUGGACUCUGGCUGGACGUCCCCCUCAUUUUCACUCCCUCCCCGUAACUACAGCCUGCCCCAAAUCCUCAAAGGGCUCGCAUGUAGCUCGCUAUAGCGUGCAUUUCCAGAACUGCAAUUGUUCUUCUAUUCGCAAAUAAACUCAAUUUCUGUUAAUUUGA